UACGAAGGGGGCUAGCGUUGUUCGGAAUUACUGGGCGUAAAGCGCACGUAGGCGGAUAUUUAAGUCAGGGGUGAAAUCCCAGAGCUCAACUCUGGAACUGCCUUUGAUACUGGGUAUCUUGAGUAUGGAAGAGGUAAGUGGAAUUGCGAGUGUAGAGGUGAAAUUCGUAGAUAUUCGCAAGAACACCAGUGGCGAAGGCGGCUUACUGGUCCGGUUCUGACGCUGAGGCGCGAAAGCGUGGGGAGCAAGCAGG
rnacentral:rRNA from 1 species